rnacentral:rRNA from 1 species
AUUGAACGCUGGCGGCAGGCUUAACACAUGCAAGUCGAACGGUAACAGGGUGCUUGCACUGCUGACGAGUGGCGAACGGGUGAGUAAUGCGUCGGAACGUGCCGAGUAGUGGGGGAUAACGCAGCGAAAGUUGUGCUAAUACCGCAUACGUACUGAGGUGGAAAGUGGGGGACCUUCGGGCCUUACGCUAUUCGAGCGGCCGACGGCUGAUUAGCUAGUAGGUGAGGUAAAGGCUCACCUAGGCGACGAUCAGUAGCGGGUCUGAGAGGAUGAUCCGCCACACUGGGACUGAGACACGGCCCAGACUCCUACGGGAGGCAGCAGUGGGGAAUUUUGGACAAUGGGCGAAAGCCUGAUCCAGCCAUGCCGCGUGUCUGAAGAAGGCCUUCGGGUUGUAAAGGACUUUUGUCAGGGAGGAAAUCCCUAGCGUUAAUACCGCUGGGGGAUGACAGUACCUGAAGAAUAAGCACCGGCUAACUACGUGCCAGCCGCCGCAGUAAAAC